rnacentral:rRNA from 1 species
UACGGGAGGCAACAGUGGGGAAUAUUGCACAAUGGGCGCAAGCCUGAUGCAGCCAUGCCGCGUGUAUGAAGAAGGCCUUCGGGUUGUAAAGUACUUUCAGUCGUGAGGAAGGUGUUAAGGUUAAUAACCUUAGCAAUUGACGUUAGCGACAGAAGAAGCACCGGCUAACUCCGUGCCAGCAGCCGCGGUAAUACGGAGGGUGCGAGCGUUAAUCGGAAUUACUGGGCGUAAAGGGCACGCAGGCGGUUAAUUAAGUUGGAUGUGAAAUCCCCGGGCUUAACCUGGGAAUGGCAUUCAAGACUGGUUAGCUAGAGUCUUGUAGAGGGGGGUUAGAAUUCCAUGUGUAGCGGUGAAAUGCGUAGAGAUGUGGAGGAAUACCGGUGGCGAAGGCGGCCCCUGGACAAAGACUGACGCUCAUGUGCGAAAGCGUGGGGAGCAAACAGGGAUUAGAUACC